CAAUAGCGUAUAUUAAAGUUGUUGCAGUUAAAAAGCUCGUAGUUGGAUUUCUGGUGGGAGCGAUCGGUCUGGCGCUUAGCGCGAGUACUUGCAUCGUCUCCGGCCAUCCUUGGGGAGAGCCUGUCUGGCAUUAGGUUGUCGGGCAGAGGAUCCUCAUCGUUUACUGUGAAAAAAUUAGAGUGUUCAAAGCAGGCUUAUGCCGUUGAAUAUAUUAGCAUGGAAUAAUAAGAUAGGACUUUGGUACUAUUUUGUUGGUUUGCGCACCAAAGUAAUGAUUAAUAGGGACAGUUGGGGGUAUUCGUAUUCCGUUGUCAGAGGUGAAAUUCUUGGAUUUACGGAAGACGAACUACUGCGAAAGCAUUUACCAAGGAUGUUUUCAUUAA
rnacentral:rRNA from 1 species